rnacentral:rRNA from 1 species
GAAGCCGGUGGCCUAACCCUUGUGGAGGGAGCCGUCGAAGGUGGGAUUGGCGAUUGGGACGAAGUCGUAACAAGGUAGCCGUACCGGAAGGUGCGGCUGGAUCACCUCCUUU